UCCUCCUGUCUCAGCCUCUUGAGCUGCUGCGAUUACAGGUGUGCGCCACUGCACCCGGCUCAUGAUCUAAUCUUAAUCUCUUCCUUUAAGUCUCUACUUAUCAACACUGAUGCAUUGGGGAUUAAGAUUUCAGUACAUAAACUCUGAGGGAUACAUUCAAACCAUAGCGUUUCACCCCAGCCCCCCCCCCCAAUUUAUGUUCUUCUCACAUGCAAAAUGUGUUCAUUUUAUUCCACUAACACCCAAAGUCUCAACUCGUUCCUGUGCCAUUUGAAAAGUCCAAAGUCAACUACACAUCCUGAGGCAAAUUCUCCUCUAGUUAGGAAAUCAAAACAUGUGUUUCCCUUUUAAUUAUAGAUUUAAAUCAUUUAUCUCCUCUUUUAUUUUACUGUAAGCAGCCAAAAGAAGACAUACACAUUUGGAUACUUUACUGCUUAGAUAUUUCUUAUGCUAAAUAUUCUAGUUCACUGCUUUAAAAUUCUGCCUUCCCUAAAGCCCUAGGAUACAGACACAGUUUCAUCAAGUUUUUUGCAAGUGUGUCACAAGGAUGGCCUUUACUCUAGUUUUCAAUUCCUUGCUCCUCAGUUCCACCUGAGACCUCAUCAAAAUGUCACUCACUGUCAACAUUUUUGCCAGUAUUCUCAUCAUAACCACUCACAGAGUCUCCACAUUGCUGACUUUCCCUCAAGUUCUUUACUUUUGAAUUGCUCUUAAUUUUCCAUUGGUGGAAGUGUAGGCUCUUUCUAGCCUGCAAAUUCUUCCAACCUCUAGCUGUUAUCCAGUUCCAAAGCCGCUGCCAUAUUUUCAGGUAUUCGCUAUACAAACAGCCCCACUUCUUAAGACCAGGUUUCUGCCUUAGUCUAUUUUGUGAUGUUAUAAAAGAAUGCCACAGAAUCGGGUAAAUUAUCAAUAAUAGCAGUGUAUUU
rnacentral:lncRNA from 1 species